rnacentral:lncRNA from 1 species
ACAUUCAUUAGUCUAUAGUCUUGCAAUAUAAAUUCAAGUCCAUGCCUUCUCCAUCCUUGAGAGUAUGAAGCUUUUACGAUUAUAUGUUGUAUCAACUGCACGUUGGUUUUCUCUAGGAGAGAAUUAUUAUGGCCUGAGUUAGACCAGUUACUCAGAGAUGAAGAUGAUGGGAAUGGUGGGUCUACUCCAUAUACAGCUGCAAUACCUGAAUACCGAGUGGUGAUUCAUGAUACCUCUGUUACAUAUUGUGAGGAUAAAUCGACAUACUUGGCAAAUGGGAAUACUUCAUUUGACAUUCACCACCCAUGCAGGUAUUUAUCGUUUGCGUUUGUCAUUUAUUACACUAAUUGUUUACUGAUAUAGAAAAGGACAAGCAUCAUUUUAAUACACAAAUUAGUGAUAUGUUAUUUUUCUUUCUCUAUAGGGUUAAUGUUUCUGUCCAAAAGGAGCUCCACAAAUCUGAGUCAGACCGCUCUUGCAUACAUCUGGAGUUUGAUCUAUCAGGGACUGGUAUUAUGUGAGUUUUUUUUUUCCAAAAGAUGGUACACAAAAAUUAAUCAGUGAACAGCUAGCAUGUUCUAUUUUCCACUUCAUGUAUUUUUGUGAUCCUUUUCAAUACAAUUAUUAAGAAACUACUUCCAACUUGAUACAAGAAGAAACAAUUUUAAUAUUCUACAACCUGCGUUCUCUGGCUUGAUGUGGAAUUAUUGAUACAUGAUUUAUUCUCAGCCUUUUUGUUUAUCUAUUGGAAUGCAUAGUUGACCUUAUAUUGAUCUUAAUGAUAUUUGCUUAUAACCAGUAUGCUUUAGCUCAGUUGUAUGGGUUCAUCUUUAGGGAUGCGCUAUCUUAGGUUUGAGUCCCAAUUGAAUCAAAAUGAACCACAAAAGGUUGCUUAUACUUUUUCUUUUCUAUUUAUUUGUUUUUUUAGAUAUGAAACUGGGGACCAUGUGGGUGUUUAUGCUGAAAAUAGUGAUGAAACUGUUGAAGCAGCAGGGAAGUUGUUAGGUCAACCCUUAGGUUUGCUAUUUUCUGUCCACACUGACAAGGAAGAUGGCACAUCACUUGGAAGCUCAUUGCCUCCUGCUUUCCCAGGGCCUUGCACCCUUCGAUCUGCUUUGGCACGUUAUGCAGAUCUGUUGAAUCCUCCUCGAAAGGUGAUAUUUGGCACAUUGCUAGUUAGUCUGUCUGCUAUCUCCUCCUCUCGGUGUGUUGAUAUUGUAACACUAAUUUAUUUACUGUAUUGUGUUGUCACUUGUCAGGCUUCUUUGAUUGCUUUGGCUGCUCAUGCCAGUGAACCCAGUGAGGCAGAAAGACUAAAAUUCCUUUCGUCACCGCAGGGGAAGGUCUCUGAAGCAUUUAUGUCCUUUUCUUAUUAUUUGCUCUUGUGAGUCAUCUUUGUCUGUUCUUGGCUUCUUGCUUAUGCUUGUCAUUCUUUUUUGUUAUCCAGGAUGAGUACUCCCAAUGGGUUGUUGCAAGUCAGAGAAGCCUUCUUGAGGUAAUGGCUGAGUUCCCAUCUGCAAGACCUCCACUGGGUGUAUUUUUUGCAGCAGUGGCUCCUCGCCUACAGCCUCGCUACUAUUCAAUCUCAUCCUCCCCAAGGUUAUUUACUGCUUGUAAUUGAGAAUUUUAAAAUGCAUUUUUGUCUAAUAAAGCAAAAUCCUAAUUCCCCAUCAUACCCUCUGCAGAUUUGCUUCCAAUAGAGUACAUGUCACAUGUGCUUUAGUUUAUGGUCCAACACCAUCCGGUAGAACUCACAAAGGGGUGUGCUCAACCUGGAUGAAGGUAGUGUAUCCUUAAAUAUAUUUUAUGCUACUGGACUCUUCUUUCCACACUUUUUGAUGUUAUUGCUUCAUGUGCACUACCCUAGUAACAUUUUUGCUUUUGUACUAACACCUGCUUCUAACGUGAAAAAAAAAAAAAUCAGAAUGCAAUUCCUCUGGAGAAAAGUAGUGCCUGUAGCUGGGCACCGAUUUUCAUUAGGACAUCUAAUUUCAAGUUACCAUCUGAUCCUUCAAUUCCAAUCAUCAUGGUGGGACCUGGUACCGGAUUGGCACCCUUUAGAGGAUUUCUACAGGUUUGGAAUCACUUCCUGAUUGUGGGUUCUAUUAUUUCUUAUCUGAAGAAGAAACUAAUAAUUGUUUCUUUCAGGAAAGAAUGGCCCUGAAAGAGGAAGGUGCUCAGCUUGGUCCUGCACUGCUUUUCUUUGGAUGUAGAAAUCGUCGAAUGGUUAGCAUCUUUUUCAUGCAUGACUCUUCGUUGGAUAAUUACCCAUACAUUGCAAUCCUAUGCUCAAUGAUCCAGUGGUGUUUCUUUACAGGAUUUCAUAUACGAGGAUGAGCUUAAUAAUUUUGUGGAGCAAGGUGUGAUUUCUGAGCUGAUUGUUGCAUUCUCUAGGGAGGGGCCACAAAAGGAGUAUGUUCAGCAUAAGAUGCUAGAAAAAGUAAGUACUUUCGUACUGCAAAUCAAUGUCCUUGACAAUCUGAAGACAUAAUUUAUAUUGUGUUAUUUAAUGCAACAGGCAGCACAAAUAUGGAGCAUAAUUUCUCAGGGAGGAUAUCUUUAUGUGUGUGGCGAUGCCAAGGGUAUGGCUAGAGAUGUUCAUCGGACUUUGCAUACGAUUGUUCAGGAGCAGGUAUUUCUUAUAGCCCAGUGCCUUUUAUUUUGCUCUCGUUUCCUUUUGUGCAUGCUUGCUAGAGUUUCCUGUUUUAGUAGAGUUGUUAAGUGGUCUCCAUGGGAAUUUCUGUUGUAUGAAAUGCGGCCACUCCAGUACUUGAAAUUAUCUUUGUUUGCUCCCAAUAUCACAUGCCUGUAAUUUUUGUAUUUCAGGGGAAUUUGGAUUCGUCAAAGACGGAGUCUAUGGUUAAGAAACUCCAGAUGGAUGGACGAUAUUUGAGAGAUGUUUGGUGACAGCUAUACUUCUCACAUUCAAUCUUAUGGUUGUUUGCAGUGACAUUGAAGCAUAGUAUAGCAUUGGGUUUAUUCAUCUACUUUCUCAAGCGUCUUGACCACUCAUAUAUCUUCCAUCCUGGAGUUGUAGCAACGAUGGAAGCUGAAACUUUAUUUCCUUUAAAAACUGAAAUUAUGUAGUCUUGAUGCCUUUUCAUCCUCUUGAACUUUUCUUUUACAAAUACAUCUCCAAAAUGGAAAAAUUCAAACAGGCAGAGCGGGUAGGAAGUAGCAAAGUGGCAAUAGUCGCUCACAGGUGGCUUGUAUGUUGAUGUAGUCAAAUAUGGUAGUGCAGAAUAAAUUGAAGAUUAAAAUUGUUCUUCAGAAUGUGUUUGUGGUGCACUUGUACCUUUGUUUUAUGAUGGGUCAGAAAUUUUCAAGAAUGUAUAGAUUUUGAAGUGAAAUUAUUAGAUGGAUUCGAUUCAGUAUAAAUCAAGAUCAUAAAAAUAAUGGGUUGUAUGUAAUUUUUUGAUGGAGUGAUCUAUUUAUUUGUGUUUUGGAUGUGAUGGAUUAAAUUCUAUUCGUAAACCUAUAUUUUUUAUCCCCGCAUAUUUUCAUUUUUAAUAUAAAAAAUAAGUUAAUUUCUAUUAAGUAUUUAUUUUAUUUUUAUUGCUCUUGAUGAAUUAGACAUGAUAUCUUAAAAAAAAUUAAGUAAAUGUUUUAUUAAAAUUGGGAAAUAUUGCAACCUCAUUGAAAUGUUGAUUAAAAUAUAUAAAAGAUUAUGUACUCUUGUUACAUUAAAAUAUAAUAUAUUUAAAUAUUAAUAAUAUUAAAACAUAAAUAAAUAAAUGUUAUUUGAUUGUAACUUAUUCAUAAUAAUGGCAAUUUAUUAUAGUAUUAAGAAGUUACUAAAUACUGUGUAACUCAAUCACAAUUUAAAGUAAUUGAAUAACUAGUUAAUAAAAUUAAAUAAUUUAUUUUAUAAAAAAAUCAUCCUUAUAUUUGUGGGUGUGGGAGUCUGUGUAAUGAUUAUGACAUUUUAAAACUUCUAAUUUCGUUUAAUUAAAUUAUUAAUUGCUUCAAAAAUAAUUCACUAAAAUAUGAUUCAAUUGGGAAUAGCCUUUUUUUUUAAACAACAAAUAUUUUUCUUUAAUCUUAUAACUCAUAUAUAAUAUUUGAUAAAGUACAUUAAAAAUUUGUCAUAAAUGAGAAAAAAAAAUGCAAAAUUAGUUCAUUAAAAAAAUAUGAUUCAAUCAUUAGCAAAUAUAAAUUUUUUAUUUCUCUUUUGAAACAGCAAAUAUUCUUCUUUAAUCUUAUAAUUGAUAUAUAAUAUUUUAUAAAUACAUUAAAAAGUUGUAAAAAAAUAUGAAAAAUGUGCAAAUAUUAAAUAAAAAAUAUUAUUACUUUAGAUAAAACAAUAAUAUAUUUGACAAAGUACAUUAAAAGUUUGUCAUAAAGGAGAAAAAAUCAUUAAAAAAAAUAUAUUAAAUAAAGAUAAACGAGUCACAAAAAUGUACAUUAAAUAAAGAAUAAUAUUACUUUUGAUAGAAAGAAGUUAUUUGACAAAGUACAUUGAAAAUUUGUGGUAGAAGAUUAAAAAAUAUAAAAAAAUGUAUAUUGAACCAUUAUUAAUAUUACUUUUAGUAAAAAAUAAUAUAAUGAUUUUCAAUUAAAACCACGAAUAUAAAUUGUUAAAAAAUACUACAACCUAAAAGUCUUAAAAGAAUCUAAAAAAUGGCUUUUCUAAAAAUAAUUUUUUUUUUGAAAUUUAAUUAUUGAAAAUCCUAUUUUCUUGUAGAUAUAUGUGCGUAUUUAAAUUAUAAUAUUAAAUUUAAUAUUACUUUAUACGUAUAAACGUUCGUAAGUACUUCUCAUAAAUGUUAUAUAUUAAUUAUAGGAUCGAUGAAUAAAAUUCUUACUGAUGCCAGUUACUGAACCAAUUUAAGAAAAAAAAAACAAUUUAAUUAAAAUUAAGAAAAUUUUAUCCAUUUAAUAUAUAUAAAAACUAUAAAUAAAAAAAUAUUGAAAGUCAUAAAAAUAAUUUUAAAAAUUUAUUAAUAUCAAAAUAGUUUUAUCAAAUGAAAAUAUUAGGCAUCUGAUUAAUAUUUACUUUAAUUAUUAAAUAUUUUAUAUAAUUUCAAAAGUUUAAAGAUUAUAUUUCUUAAAAAUAGUAAAAAAAUAAAUUAUAUUUAUAAAAAUAAAAUUAGAAAUAUAUACAAUAUUAACUUGUAUAUAUAUAAAAUUUUAAAAUAAACUAUAUUAAAUAAUGUUUGAAUGUAAUUAAAGUAAAAUAAAAUAAUAUAUAUUAUUAAUUGCAUUAAAAUAAAAUAAAUUAUAUAUUAAAAAAUCUUAUCUUAUUUUAUGUUACCUCUACCCAAAUAGGGUAUAAGAAUUUUAUUUCUUAGCCGUAUUUCUCCCAAGUUGUAGACAGCGGAUAAGUGGAAAAGGGUCCUUUUUCUCACCUCCCUUUGGCGCAGGUAAAGAGAGAGAGGGAGAGAGAGCAUUAAGCCAUUAAUAAUAUUUCAGAAUAAAAAAGGCGUACAAUGUCAAAACUUUUAGCUCGCGGCUGCCAUAGGGACACGAACUCCGCCACACUUCCAGGGCAGACGCCACAGAACUUAGCAUAAGCGAGCUCUUUUCCUCCCUUUCUAUUUAUUUAUUUAUUUCAAUAAAAAAAAUAAAACAACUGGUCAAGAUCUCAGUGGUCCCGUCUCCAUAUAUCAAACCUACUUCUCCUUGUCUCCACCGUCUCUCUCUUCUCCCACCCAACGCUCUCCGCUUACCCCCCCCCAUCUUUUAGGGCUCAUUCUCCAAAGCCACAAAGAAAAAAAAAAACUGAACCCAAACCAUAACCAAAACUGAAGCCGAGUAUUUCAAGGCUUUGGAUUUUUUUUUUUCAGUAUUGAAUUGUUUUUGGUUUGGAUUUGGAUUAUAGAUCGAGAUGAGUUCCAGUUCGGAUUUGGUAAGCUUCGUUGAGUCGUUGCUCGGAGUCUCGCUCGGUGGUUCUGUGUCUGACUCCGUGCUACUUAUGAUAACGACGUCGUUUGCUGUUAUUGUGGGGUUGUUGGUGUUAUCGUGGAAGAGAUCGUCGGAUCGGAGCAAAGAGCUGAAACCUGUAGUGAUUCCUAAGUCGCUUGCAGUGAAGGACGAGGAGGAUGAGGCUGAGGCUCUUGCCGGUAAAACUAAGGUUACUAUCUUUUAUGGGACUCAGACUGGAACCGCUGAGGGCUUUGCUAAGGUAUGAUCAUUUUUUGUUAAUAUGACAAUGAUUCUGUUUCGUUUUGGGUUUGGCCUUUGACUGUGUAUUGGUGUUUGGGGAUUUGGCUGGGUUUGUUGAAAGACUGCGAGAAUUGAUCAGCGUGGCUGUGGAUGAAGGUUCGUUUGGAAGUCAAAGUUAAGUGAUAAUUUUGACUGAUGUGAAAUCCAAAUUUAGUAUUUGGUUAACAGUAGCUAAUGAGAAGUGGCUGGUAUGGUCUGGAUUUUUAACUUAGUCUUUGGGGAAAGAACUUUGCGUUGAAUUUUGAAACGAGUUAACGAGCUGAAUUGAAUCUAAAUUUUAUGUGCAUUCUUUGAUCAGCUUGGAACUUGGAAGUGGUUUUUGUCAAUUUCGAGAGAAGAGGCAAGAAGAGGCACUUUCCGAUUGUAUCUUUAGAUGGAUGGCUCCAAGCCAAAUCUUGGAACUUGGCCUCCGAGAGAGAAAUGCAAUAUUAGUAACUUCCCAACAUUAUGGGUUUUCAUAGACGAAAAGCUAAACAAAUGGAGGAUUUUAAAAUUGACAUUCACUUUAUUAGUUUUUUAUUCUUGGUUCUUGUUGUUCCUAUUGAUUCCAUGGUAUUGGCAUCCUUGUAUGCAUGGUGAUGGUAUCAAUUUUGGAUGAAGGUGUUAAUCAUUGCUAAUGGUGGGGUAAAUAAGGGCAAAUAUGUGUAGUUUACUUUUAUGAUUUCAAGAGACCCUGCUGCUAAGUUCCAUGAGAUUUGGAGGCCUUAUUGAAAGUGAUGUCAUAGUGUACAAACUGUAUGUUUGCAGGUUCCUGGGGAUAAAAAUACAACAGAUGAUUGACUGUUUAGACAGAUGUAAUUUUCUGUCUGCAAUGUGUUGUGUUUUUGAUGUUCAGUGUUAUAAUCAGAGAGCCACUGCACAAUCCUGUGUUUAGCAUUGUGUCUUUAUCUUAUCAUGAAUCUAUAUAGUGCACCUUUAUUUCAUAUUACUUAAGCUUUUAAUAAGGAUUUUCCCUAAUUACUAUUGCAGGCAUUAGCUGAGGAGAUCAAGGCAAGAUAUGAGAAAGCAGCUGUUAAAGUUGUUGACCUGGUAUGUUGGUGGGGUUGUUGAAUAACAUUGUGAAGUUGAAUGAGAAAAUUGCUUCCUUGGAUUGUAGUAGUAAUAUUAUUAUUAUUAACUUCUUAUGUAAAUUGGUUUUGAAUUAGGAUGAUUAUGCUGUGGAUGAUGAUCAAUAUGAAGAAAAAUUGAAGAAGGAGACACUGGCAUUUUUCAUGGUUGCAACGUAAGACAAAUCUUUUCAUUUACUGGCCUUUUGCAAACAUAAAUCAUAUGAUUGUUCUUUGUGGUUGUGUUCAACAUUGCAGUUAUGGAGAUGGAGAGCCAACUGAUAAUGCUGCAAGAUUUUAUAAGUGGUUCACUGAGGUUGGUGAUUUUGUUAAGAUGCUAACACUGAAUAACAUUCCAAGGCACAUUUUAUUGCCUUAUGUAUCUUGCGUUUUUUUCAUGUUUGAUAAUGGUGAUUUAAUUUCAGGAAAGCGAAAGGGGAGCUUGGCUUCAACAGCUCACUUAUGGUGUUUUUGGCUUGGGUAACCGUCAAUACGAACAUUUUAAUAAGGUAAAUGUAACAGGAUAUAUUGUUCUUUUCCUUCUCCUUCUCCUCCUGCUUAUCAUGUUUUAUAAUUUGAUGGGAUGUCUUUGCUAAACAGAUAGCGAAGGUGCUUGAUGAACAACUCAGUGAACAAGGUACAAAUAUUCAUAUUUCUUUUUCUGGUGUUUUGUUCAUUUGCUUGUUUGCUUUCCCUUGAUAGUUAGUAGAGUUAAUGUUAUUGAGCCAUAGUAAAUCUGGCAAUUGCCCUAAUAUUGCAACUUUUGUUGUUAAAUGGUUUCAUAUUUUCUGAUUUUUCUUUUAAUAUUUGAAUGUAAGGGUUAUGCCUUGGCCUUGAAUCCAUCUAUAUGCCAAGAAAACAAUGAUGUGAAAAGCUUUAAAAUGCUAGUCAUUUCAGUGUUCAAAGCCAGAGAAAUUUAGAGAAAUAUUGUCAUAUAUGCUGUGUUUAAAUGGUAUGUCUUGAAAACAAAGAGAGGAUUGAAUGAAGUUGUAAAUUUUCGAAAAAGGAAAAAAGAAAUCCCUAAUUGAAUUAACAAAGGUCUCGAUAUGGCUCGACAUAGUUAACAUAAAGGGCAUCAGCUUCCCAAAUAUAAUCUCCAUAAAGUAAUUAAAUGAGUAUAGCAUGCAAAAUCUGAAAAUGGAUAAAACUGACUAAAUUCUUUUCUUCCAAGAUGGUUAUAUGAACUCUCUUCUUACCAUGUUAGUAUAUUUGGUGUAUGAUUAUUAGGGUAGUUACAUAUAAAAUAUUUCCCCGGAACUUGUGUGUGAAAUUUUAUUUACUGUGGGGCACUUAAAAUAAGGGCAGGGGAAGGGAGGGUUUAAAUUUGGAAGAGCUUGUGAUCUUGUUGGUUUUGCUGUGUAGUAGAUAUUAUUGUCCAUUUUUGUCAUUUCGCUUCUGCGUAGACAUUGGAUCCAAAGUCAAUGUAAUCUUUUACUACUAUUCUUCUCUGCUUGUGAGGUUUUGCAACCACUUCCAUUUAUAGCUUAUAGUAUCAUACUUGUUAUUUAUUUCAUUCUUGUGCUCCUUUUGGAAGGUGGUUUAGCUGUAUGCCACAUUCAUAGACAUUCACAACUAGUUUUGCAUCUGGCAAUGGUUGGUGCUUGUUAUCAUGCUUUGUCAUGUCAAGUUUCUUAUUCUAUGGUUUGAAGUUAAAAUGAUUCAUUCAUUUUAAUAUGAUAGAUUCAUCUUUGUGGUUGAAAUAGGUGCAAAACGCCUCAUUCCUGUGGGACUUGGAGACGAUGAUCAAUGCAUUGAAGAUGAUUUUACUGCUUGGUAUACUAUGUAGUUAGAUUUGAACAUUCAUUAAUCUUUGCUGUUGCAAUAUAAAUUCAAGCCCAUGCCUUCUCCAUCUUUUAGAGUACGAAGCUUCUUACAAUUAUAUGUUGAAUCAACUGCUUGUUUGUUUUCUCUAGGAGAGAAUUAUUGUGGCCUGAGUUAGACCAGUUACUCAGAGAUGAAGAUGAUGUGAACGGUGGGUCUACUCCAUAUACAGCUGCUAUACCUGAAUACCGAGUGGUGAUUCAUGAUGCUUCUGUUACAUAUUAUGAGGAUAAAUCGUCAUACUUGGCAAAUGGGAAUGCUUCGUUUGAUAUUCACCAUCC